AUCAGUUAUAGAUGAAAGUCCCACAGCAGCUACUCUGUGUCCCCCAGAGAAAUGAGAAAGGAGGAGGCAGUGAGAUGGAUGAAGGUGGAAGUUCUGAGCAUUUCUCCUCUCAAAAGAGACCGGAGCACACCAGUGAAGAGAGUUCAGAUGUAGAUGAAGAGAGCAAGGAAGCAAGACUGGCUCUGAGGAAAAGGGGAAAA